CAGCCGCCUCGGUAAUACCGGCGGCCCGAGUGGCGGUCACUAUUAUUGGGCUUAAAGCGUCCGUAGCCGGGUUGGGAAGUCCUCCGGGAAAUCUGGCCGCUUAACGGUCAGAAUGCCGGAGGAUACUCCCAGCCUAGGGAGCGGGAGAGGCCGAGGGUAUUCCCGGAGUAGGGGUGAAAUCCUAUAAUCCCGGGAGGAACACCUGUGGCGAAGGCGCUCGGCUGGAACGCGUCCGACGGUGAGGGACGAAGGCCAGGGGAGCAAACCGGAUUAGAUACCCGGGUAGUCCUGGCUGUAAACGAUGCGGACUUUGUGUCGGACAAGCUAUGAGCUUGUCCGGUGCCGGAGGGAAACCGUUAAGUCCGCCGCCUGGGGAGUACGGCCGCAAGGCUGAAACUUAAAGGAAUUGGCGGG
rnacentral:rRNA from 1 species